CCGGAAAUAGCAGAACUGCUGUGAGAAUGGCAUCAGUCCUGUGCUGUGGAAAGAUAACUUUUUGCUACUACUACAAACUAUAACACCUAGCUUGAAGAUGCACAAGAUAAAGUGAGCUGGAAAUUCCAACAGUUAUGCAAUUUCCUCUUAAUUUCUCAAGCCCUGUCAGUGUACUUGAACGUGGUUGAGCAGCGCGGCCUUGAUGGCUCCACGGGGGGUCCAGAGAAGAGUGUAUAGGGACAGCUCAGUGGGCCACUGUAACAGCACUCGUAUUCCUCUCUGGGGGUAGAUUAAGCUUAAUUAACUAAACCAUCCAGCACGCUUGGAUGAAUGGAUACAAGUCAAGGGCAGAGCAGUCACGGGUGUGCUCACACAUUCUCUGGCAGGCACUGAGAGAGAGUUUUGUGUCGUAUUUUGGCUCUGUGUGUGUGUAAUAGUGGCAAAAAAUAGAUGCUGUAGCUAAAGUUGUGUGUACAAGUCAACAAUUAACUAAUCUGUGUUCAGUCUGUAGUAAGUCACACAAACGACAGUGACCUCAGCGGCACCUAUGCAAAGCAGUCGCAGGAAAAUAAAUCCCAGAAUAUGACACAAUUCCUCAAAUUCCAAGUUUCUAAGAGUUUAAAAAUAGCUUUUAGACUCACCAAACUCUGCAAAGGGAAUCUAAAGAUAUUUUGAACCAGUCUAACCUAGUUUCAGAGUGUCAGCUGAUGAUAACAGGACCAACAUCAAGACUGAGUUGUGAAUAAAGGAGUGUCAAACCUCCAAUGGAUCUGUAUGGCAUAGUUUAGGGUGUAUCUGUAACAGUGCUGCGAACAUUAUUUAAGAUACCACCAUUUUUUAACAUCCACAACACUUUUAGGCUCAUCGUGAUUUCAAGAGGUCAAACCUCUGUUUGAUACCAUCUCAAGCUUACUUCGGAGAGAAAAGGACCUAACUACAGGUUUUGUUUCUGACGGCAUGAACGGCCAUACAAAGGAUGCAUUAUAACCGGUAAUAACAUUGAAGAUCACAGAGAGAAGACCAAACCAGAUGAAGAAGAAUAGAAAAACCCUUGAGCUCAAACACAAGACAAUACAAGGCAUCUCAUUUCUUAUCUUUAAGUCAGUGUAAUCUUCCCCCAGAUCAUUUUCUUCGCAAAUGAUGUUGUUGUUGUUCACUCCUGUUUUUAGCCACGAGCUACACAGCUGUUGCUGUUUUCUUAUAGUCUCUGCUACUAGCCCUCCAUGGCCCUAACAUUCACUCCCUGCUCUACUUUUCUCCCAGGCAUCUCACCCUCCUUUCUCACAUUGAUAUCUCCCCUUUAAUUUUGGUUAUGUAUAACGAUAAUUACUCCAACCAUAUGUGCAUUUAAUUGAUGCCUUGCGAAUGUGUAAAUGUGUGUGUGUGUACUGUGCGCACAUUGCUAAUAAAGUCUUAUUGCCUGUUAAUCUGGACUGUCAGGGAAAU